rnacentral:rRNA from 1 species
CAGCCGCCGCGGUAAUACGAAGGGUGCAAGCGUUACUCGGAAUUACUGGGCGUAAAGCGCACGUAGGCGGCUUGGUAAGUUAGAGGUGAAAGCCCGGAGCUCAACUCCGGAAUUGCCUUUAAGACUGCCGAGCUAGCAGGUGAGAGAGGUAAGUGGAAUUCCGAGUGUAGAGGUGAAAUUCGUAGAUAUUCGGAAGAACACCAGUGGCGAAGGCGGCUUACUGGCUCAUACUGGACGCUGAGGUGCGAAAGCGUGGGGAGCAAACAGGAUUAGAUACCCCAGUAGUCCCUGUCUCUUAUAC